rfam:Solanum lycopersicum cultivar Heinz 1706 chromosome 3, whole genome shotgun sequence.
GUCCCCUUGGGGACAUCCAAUAAAAUUGGAAUGAUACAGAGAAAGAUUAGCAUGGCCCUGUCAUCAACGAUGACACGCACAAAUCGAGAAAUGGUUCAAUUUUUU